AGCGAAUAGAUACCCCGGUAGUCCACGCCGUAAACGAUGAGCACUAGUUAUUGGGGGUAUUGACUCCCCCGGUGACGUAGCUAAACGCAUUAAGUGCUCCGCCUGGGAAGUACGGCCGCAAGGCUAAAACUCAAACAAAUUGACGGGGGCCCGGCACAAGCGGUGGAUUAUGUGGUUUAAUUCGAAAGCAACGCGCAGAACCUUACCUAGGCUUGAACUCCUACGAACCCGACGUAACGGUUGGGGUGUCCGCAAGGAAAUGUAGUGAGAGGUGCUGCAUGGCUGUCGUCAGCUCGUGUUGUGAAAUGUUGGGUUAAGUCUCGCAACGAGCGCAACCCCUAUCGCCUGUUGCCAGCAUUAAGUUGGGCACUCUGACGAGACUGCCUGGGGUUAACCAGGAGGAAGGUGGGGAUGACGUCAAGUCCUCAUGGCCCUUAUGUCUAGGGCUACACACGUAAUACAAUGGCACGUACAGAGGGAAGCGAACCUGUAAGGGGAAGCAAAUCUCAAAAAACCGUGCCUCAGUUCGGAUUGAAGUCUGCAACUCGACUUC
rnacentral:rRNA from 1 species